UGUUAUUUCCAAAUGCUAGCAGUUCUGUGGCCUUGCCUCAGAGAGGAGAGCAGCUCCUGAUUGAGGAUGACUAAUAUUACCUCAUUGUAUGUAAUAACAUGUUUUGCUUAUCUAUCAUUCAUCCGUGGGCAAUUUGGUUGCUUCCACCUCUCCCACCGCUAUUGUGGAUAGUGCUGAAGGAAACAGCAAUUUCUCAACCUCAGGUUGGACCAACUCAGAAGAUAUUAAUAAAAGAGAUUUAGGAACCAAUUAUUAUGAAGUUUAUUAUGCGAGAUUAGACCAAAUUCCAGCACAUGACUGAUGGUAAUUACACAUAUUUAGGAAAAAAAAUAAGAUGCCUAAAUUGGACUACAUGAAGAAAGCAACUAAGAGAAAAAUGGAAGUCUGCCAACUGCAGAAACAUGUUGUCCAGAAAAAUCAUGGAUUGUAAAGAACAUCCUCUCUCCUUGUAUAAGCUACCAGAUGUUGUUGAACUGAAUUUAAAAUAGGGAAAAAAAAGCUGAUGAGUCAUAGGGUGCAACCACAAUUAAGCAAAGUUUAGCAGCUCUCUUAAUUAAACAACGUUGUGGUAUGUGUAAUAAACAGUGUUAAAAAUGAGAAAAUGUGGAUUCCUUACUGAAUGGAAACUUAAAUAUAUGUAUUUAAAAUAUGAUUUAAGUCAUGAUGUUGAAAAUGAUGCCAUUUGAACGGUACUGAAGACAGAUGCCAUUGAAGUGAACAGUGAUUAAAUACACAGUGUGUGAGUAUAAAACUGCAUUGGAGAAUACGGUAUGGAGGUUCCUAAAAUAAAAUGAAAACAGGAUUGCCAUAUGACCCAGCAAUUUCACUUCUGGGUAUUUAAAGAAAAUGAAGACACUAAUUCAAAAAGGUAUCUGCACCCCCCCAUGUUCAUUGCCACAUUAUUUACAAAAGCCAAGAGAUGAAAACAACCUAAGUGGCCAUUGAUGGAUGAAUGGAUAACAAAAUGAUGUGGUAAAUAUAUACAAUGGAAUAUUACUCAGCCAUAAACAGAGUAAAAUCUUACCAUUUGUGACAAGAGAGUAUUAUGCUAAGUGAAAUAAGUCAGACAGAGAAAGGUGAAUACUGUAUGAUUUCAUUUACAUGUAGAAUCUAAAAAACAGAACAAGUGAACAAU